rnacentral:rRNA from 1 species
GACAGAGGGUGCAAACGUUGUUCGGAAUUACUGGGCGUAAAGGGCUCGUAGGCGGCCAACUAAGUCAGACGUGAAAUCCCUCAGCUUAACUGGGGAACUGCGUCUGAUACUGGAUGGCUUGGAUUCGGGAGAGGAAUGCGGAAUUCCAGGUGUAGCGGUGAAAUGCGUAGAUAUCUGGAGGAACACCGGUGGCGAAGGCGGCAUUCUGGACCGAUAUUGACGCUGAGGAGCGAAAGCCAGGGGAGCAAACGGG